rnacentral:lncRNA from 1 species
UGCUACUGUGAUAUCGUGACACCAAAUCGCCUGCACUGCAGCCGUCCCGCUAGACCACACAACCACCUGGGCUCUAAAAAAAAGAGCUUUCGCUGGCCGUGUGUUACCUUUCCUCGUCAGUUUUAAUCUAGCGGCGUACUACAGUACAUGAUAUAUAAGGCAUGAAGAUGUUAUUGUUACAGAUCAGCUAAAUUAUCUAUAGUAAAGGAUCC